rnacentral:snRNA from 1 species
UCCAGUCCAUAGUUAAUCCUU